CAUGGUUUCUGCGUCGCAGCUAACGCAUUAAGCGCCCCGCCUGGGGAGUACGGUCGCAAGACUAAAACUCAAAGGAAUUGACGGGGGCCCGCACAAGCAGCGGAGCAUGCGGCUUAAUUCGAUGCAACGCGAAGAACCUUACCUAGGCUUGACAUAUAGAGAAAACCCACAGAGAUGUGGAGUCCGUAAGGGCUCUAUACAGGUGGUGCAUGGUUGUCGUCAGCUCGUGUCGUGAGAUGUUGGGUUAAGUCCCGCAACGAGCGGAACCCUCGUUCUAUGUUGCCAGCGCGUAAUGGCGGGGACUCAUAGGAGACUGCCGGGGUCAACUCGGAGGAAGGUGGGGAUGACGUCAAAUCAUCAUGCCCCUUAUGCCUAGGGCUGCAUGCAUGCUACAAUGGCCGAUACAAAGGGCUGCGAUACCGCAAGGUGGAGCGAAUCCCAUAAAGUCGGUCUCAGUUCGGAUUGGGGUCUGCAACUCGACCCCAUGAAGUUGGAGUUGCUAGUAAUCGCAGAUCAGCAACGCUGCGGUGAAUACGUUCCCGGGCCUUGUACACACCGCCCGUCACGUCACGAAAGUCGGUAACACCCGAAGCCGGUGGCCUAACCGUAAGGAAGGAGCCGUCGAAG
rnacentral:rRNA from 1 species